UACGAAGGGGGCUAGCGUUGCUCGGAAUCACUGGGCGUAAAGGGUGCGUAGGCGGGUUUUUAAGUCAGGGGUGAAAUCCUGGAGCUCAACUCCAGAACUGCCUUUGAUACUGAGAAUCUUGAGUACGGGAGAGGUGAGUGGAACUGCGAGUGUCGAGGUGAAAUUCGUAGAUAUUCGCAAGAACACCAGUGGCGAAGGCGGCUCACUGGCUCGAUACUGACGCUGAGGUGCGAAAGCGUGGGGAGAAUACAGG
rnacentral:rRNA from 1 species